rnacentral:rRNA from 1 species
UCCGGAGGGGGCUAUCGUUGUUCGGAAUUACUGGGCGUAAAGCGCACGUAGGCGGAACAGAAAGUCAGAGGUGAAAUCCCAGGGCUCAACCUUGGAACUGCCUUUGAAACUCCUGUUCUUGAGGUCGAGAGAGGUGAGUGGAAUUCCGAGUGUAGAGGUGAAAUUCGUAGAUAUUCGGAGGAACACCAGUGGCGAAGGCGGCUCACUGGCUCGAUACUGACGCUGAGGUGCGAAAGCGUGGGGAGAAAACAGG